rnacentral:misc_RNA from 1 species
UCCGGUUCAUCACCGGCAGUCCCCUUAGAGUCCCCAACUUAAUGCUGGCAACUAAGGGCAAGGGUUGCGCUCGUUACGGGACUUAACCCAACAUCUCACAACACGAGCUGACGACAGCCAUGCAGCACCUGUCUCCGCGUUCCUUUCGGCACUCCCACAUCUCUGCAGGAUUCGCGGGAUGUCAAGGGUAGGUAAGGUUCUUCGCGUUGCAUCGAAUUAAACCACAUGCUCCACCGCUUGUGCGGGCCCCCGUCAAUUCCUUUGAGUUUCAACCUUGCGGCCGUACUUCCCAGGCGGAUAACUUAUCGCGUUAGCUUCGAUACCGAUAGGUUCCCCUACCAACAUCUAGUUAUCAUCGUUUACAGCGUGGACUAC